AAUGAACGCUGGCGGUAGGCCUAACACAUGCAAGUCGAACGGCAGCACAGUAAGAGCUUGCUCUUACGGGUGGCGAGUGGCGGACGGGUGAGGAAUACAUCGGAAUCUACUUUUUCGUGGGGGAUAACGUAGGGAAACUUACGCUAAUACCGCAUACGACCUACGGUUGAAAGCAGGGGAUCUUCGGACCUUGCGCGAUUGAAUGCGCCGAUGUCGGAUUAGCUAGUUGGCGGGGUAAAGGCCCACCAAGGCGACGAUCCGUAGCUGGUCUGAGAGGAUGAUCAGCCACACUGGAAGUGAGACACGGUCCAGACCCCUACGGGAGGCAGCAGUGGGGAAUAUUGGACAAUGGGCGCAAGCCUGAUCCAGCCAUACCGCGUGGGUGAAGAAGGCCUUCGGGUUGUAAAGCCCUUUUGUUGGGAAAGAAAAGCAGCAGGUUAAUACCCCGCUGUUCUGACGGUACCCAAAGAAUAAGCACCGGCUAACUUCGUG
rnacentral:rRNA from 1 species